CCUACGGGUGGCAGCAGUGAGGAAUAUUGGUCAAUGGCCGGGAGGCUGAACCAGCCAAGUCGCGUGAGGGAAGACGGUCCUACGGGUUGUAAACCUCGUUUGUCAGGGAGAAAGGUGCAGGGCGUGACCUGCUGUGAGUGUACCUGAAGAAAAAGCAUCGGCUAACUCCGUGCCAGCAGCCGCGGUAAUACGGAGGAUACGAGCGUUAUCCGGAUUUAUUGGGUUUAAGGGGUGCGCAGGCGGAGGCACAAGGCAGCGGUAAAAUCGCGGGGCUCAACCCCGCUCCGCCGUUGAAACUGGCAGUCUCGAGUGGGAGAGAAGUAUGCGGAAUGCGCGGUGUAGCGGUGAAAUGCAUAGAUAUCGCGCAGAACUCCGAUUGCGAAGGCAGCAUGCCGGAUCCAAACUGACGCUGAGGCACGAAAGCGUGGGUAUCGAACAGGAUUAGAUACCCCAGUAGUC
rnacentral:rRNA from 1 species